GUGGGGAAUAUUGGACAAUGGGCGAAAGCCUGAUCCAGCCAUGCCGCGUGUGUGAAGAAGGUCUUCGGAUUGUAAAGCACUUUAAGUUGGGAGGAAGGGCAGUAAGUUAAUACCUUGCUGUUUUGACGUUACCGACAGAAUAAGCACCGGCUAACUUCGUGCCAGCAGCCGCGGUAAUACGAAGGGUGCAAGCGUUAAUCGGAAUUACUGGGCGUAAAGCGCGCGUAGGUGGUUUUGUAAGUUGGAGGUGAAAUCCCCGGGCUCAACCUUGGAACUGCCUCCAAAACUGCAUGACUAGAGUACGGUAGAGGGUAGUGGAAUUUCCUGUGUAGCGGUGAAAUGCGUAGAUAUAGGAAGGAACACCAGUGGCGAAGGCGACUACCUGGACUGAUACUGACACUGAGGUGCGAAAGCGUGGGGAGCAAACAGGAUUAGAUACCCUAGUAGUCC
rnacentral:rRNA from 1 species